GACAGCAUGGAGUAGUGGUUUGAGUGUCAAAUUAUGACUCUGGAGACCAGGGUUCAAAUCCCUGCUUAGCUA